rnacentral:tRNA from 1 species
GCUUUCCCUAUGGCUCAGUUGGUAGAGCAUUGUGCUAACAACGCAAAGUUUGUGGGUUCUUAUCCCAGGGAAAGCA